CAGAGGGGGCAAGCGUUGUUCGGAAUUACUGGGCGUAAAGGGCGCGUAGGCGGCCUGUUAAGUCGGACGUGAAAUCCCUCGGCUCAACCGGGGAACUGCGUCCGAUACUGGCGGGCUUGAAUUCGGGAGAGGGAUGUGGAAUUCCAGGUGUAGCGGUGAAAUGCGUAGAUAUCUGGAGGAACACCGGUGGCGAAGGCGGCAUCCUGGACCGACAUUGACGCUGAGGCGCGAAAGCCAGGGGAGCAAACGGGAUUAGAUACCCCGGUAGUCCUGGCCCUAAACGAUGAGUGCUUGGUGUGGCGGGUAUCGAUCCCUGCCGUGCCGAAGCUAACGCAUUAAGCACUCCGCCUGGGGAGUACGGUCGCAAGGCUG
rnacentral:rRNA from 1 species